rnacentral:rRNA from 1 species
UACAGAGGGUGCAAGCGUUGUCCGGAAUUACUGGGCGUAAAGGGCGCGUAGGCGGCUUGAUAAGUAGGGGGUGAAAUUUCGUGGCUCAACCACGAAACUGCCUUCUAAACUGUCUGGCUUGAGCACGGUAGAGGCAGAUGGAAUUCCCGGUGUAGCGGUGGAAUGCGUAGAGAUCGGGAAGAACACCAGUGGCGAAGGCGGUCUGCUGGGCCGUUGCUGACGCUGAUGCGCGACAGCGUGGGGGAGCAAACAGG